rnacentral:rRNA from 1 species
ACGGAGGGUGCAAGCGUUGUUCGGAAUUAUUGGGCGUAAAGAGCGUGCAGGCGGUAUGAUAAGUUAGGUGUGAAAGCCCUGGGCUUAACCUAGGAAGUGCAUUUAAAACUGUCACUCUUGAGUAUGGGUGAGGAGGGCGGAAUGCCCAGUGUAGCGGUGAAAUGCUUAGAUAUGACGCAGAACACCGAUCGCGAAGGCAGCUAGCUAAGCUAUAACUGACGCUCAUGCACGAAAGCGUGGGGAUCAAACAG